rnacentral:sRNA from 1 species
UGAUUUACACAACAAAUACUCACGCCUAUCGUCACGCUUGGUAGGGUGCUGGCUUUUAAAACUUAAGGCUGGUUACCAGGCGGGAUAAGCGGAGGCUUAAC